rnacentral:rRNA from 1 species
CCUACGGGAGGCAGCAGUGAGGAAUAUUGGUCAAUGGACGAGAGUCUGAACCAGCGAAGUAGCGUGAAGGAUGACUGCCCUAUGGGUUGUAAACUUCUUUUAUAAAGGAAUAAAACGCGGCACGUGUGCCUUUUUGCAUGUACUUUAUGAAUAAGGAUCGGCUAACUCCGUGCCAGCAGCCGCGGUAAUACGGAGGAUCCGAGCGUUAUCCGGAUUUAUUGGGUUUAAAGGGAGCGUAGAUGGGUUGGUAAGUCCGUUGUGAAAGUUUGUGGCUCAACCGUAAAAUUGCAAUUGGUACUGGCAGGCUGGAGUACAGUUGAGGUAGGCGGAAUUCGUAGUGUAGCGGUGAAAUGCGUAGAUAUCACGAAGAACCCCGAUUGCGAAGGCAGCUUACUAAACUGUGACUGACAUUGAUGCUCGAAAGUGUGGGUAUCAAACAGGAUUAGAUACCCCAGUAGUC